CGCCAGACUCCUACGGGAGGCAGCAGUGGGGAAUAUUGCACAAUGGGGGAAACCCUGAUGCAGCAACGCCGCGUGAGUGAAGAAGUAUUUCGGUAUGUAAAGCUCUAUCAGCAGGGAAGAAGAUGACGGUACCUGAGUAAGAAGCCCCGGCUAACUACGUGCCAGCAGCCGCGGUAAUACGUAGGGGGCAAGCGUUAUCCGGAUUUACUGGGUGUAAAGGGAGCGUAGACGGUGAGACAAGUCUGAAGUGAAAGCCCGGGGCUCAACCCCGGGACUGCUUUGGAAACUGCCUGACUGGAGUGCUGGAGAGGCAAGCGGAAUUCCUAGUGUAGCGGUGAAAUGCGUAGAUAUUAGGAGGAACACCAGUGGCGAAGGCGGCUUACUGGACGACUACUGACGCUGAGGCUCGAAAGCGUGGGGAGCAAACAGGAUUAGAUACCCCAGUACCG
rnacentral:rRNA from 1 species